rnacentral:rRNA from 1 species
GAUGAACGCUGGCGGCGUGCCUAAUACAUGCAAGUCGAGCGAACAGACGAGGAGCUUGCUCCUCUGACGUUAGCGGCGGACGGGUGAGUAACACGUGGAUAACCUACCUAUAAGACUGGGAUAACUUCGGGAAACCGGAGCUAAUACCGGAUAAUAUAUUGAACCGCAUGGUUCAAUAGUGAAAGACGGUUUUGCUGUCACUUAUAGAUGGAUCCGCGCCGCAUUAGCUAGUUGGUAAGGUAACGGCUUACCAAGGCAACGAUGCGUAGCCGACCUGAGAGGGUGAUCGGCCACACUGGAACUGAGACACGGUCCAGACUCCUACGGGAGGCAGCAGUAGGGAAUCUUCCGCAGUGGGCGAAAGCUUGACGGAGCAACGCCGCGUGAGUGAUGAAGGUCUUCGGAUCGUAAAACGCUGUUAUUAGGGAAGAACAAAUGUGUAAGUAACUAUGCACGUCUUGACGGUACCUAAUCAGAAAGCCACGGCUAACUACGU